UUCCCUACGGGGGGCAGCAGUGGGGAAUAUUGCACAAUGGGGGAAACCCUGAUGCAGCGACGCCGCGUGAGUGAAGAAGUAUUUCGGUAUGUAAAGCUCUAUCAGCAGGGAAGAAAUUGACAGUACCUCAGGAGGAAGCUCCGGCUAACUAUGUGCCAGCAGCCGCGGUAAUACGUAGGGGGCAAGCGUUAUCCGGAAUUACUGGGUGUAAAGGGAGCGUAGACGGUUAAGUAAGUCUGGAGUGAAAGGCCGGGGCCCAACCCCGGGACUGCUCUGGAAACUAUUGAACUUGAGUGCAGGAGAGG
rnacentral:rRNA from 1 species